ensembl:lncRNA
ACAAGACUUUGACUUAUCCCAUUGGACUCUGGAGGAGUAUUUAAUCUCCCUGCAGAACUGAGCCAGCCUAGGAGUCUGCACGAGAGCAUCCAGUCUGUAUGAGCUAUGACCAUUCUUGUCCUCCUACUCUGCAAAUGCUUUGAGGCCAACAGGAGUGCUGAAGAGGGGCACGUUCUUGUCUGACACAAAACAAAGCCAAAAGAAUGCUUGCUUUUUCCACUUAAAUAUCACCUGUGCGUUUGGACAUAAGCUUGUGACGCUCUCAGAGCCUCCUCUAACAAAUUCUAUGUUCCACAUGUCCCCAGGUGUAAGCAAGAGCUCUCAGGGAACUCUGAAUGGGAGCAUGUGUACCAGGGACAGGAGAAGCUGUGUCAGCAGUGAUGGCUUAAGGAAUCAGCUGUGAUGAUCACAUCACAAAGUGAUGGCUUAAGGAAUCAGCUACUUAUGACUAUGAAAUUUGAAUCUGAAGUUUCACAUCUCCCAAAAGGCAAUUUGACAUUUUUAGGCCUCUGUUUGUUGCUGGAUGCUUCCAAAAUCUAAGCUGCCCGGGGCUACAAGUUGACUUGCCACGGAGGCUACUGACAGGUGACUUCAAGUAUUCUCAAGAGACUCACCUCUGUGGUAGGAGUUUCCUAGAAUUAGAUGAUGAAAGCACAGGGAAGACAAGCAGAUAAGCAGAGACUGCUGGAGUUGCUGACAAUAAAAUCCCAGGCAAGUAUGCAAGAAAUAAUGUGAAAACUGAACGAGAGAUGGACACAUCUAUUGAUACUACACAGAAUUACUGUGGUUGGAGUGGCCGUAGCCAUGGAAAGAACCCAAAAGCAUGGAAAGAACCAAAAAGCACUGUGCGUUGUUUUCAUCGAAGUCACGCGGCAAUUUCAUUAAAUCAAAAGAAAUAACUCAAAGGAAGAAGAGAUGGAAUUGCCAGGUUGCCCACUUGUGUGCUGUGACAUCCCCCAGCCUGUUCCAUGAAGCCCAUACAACACGACUUCACCAGAGCCCAGGGAAGGAAACACGGCACUUGAGAUGUGGCAUAAGCACUGGCCAGGGUGGCUUGGGCUGUUCCUCUGCAUGCUUCACAGCUGCAGGAGUGCACAGAAGAGUUCUGCUUCAGGACUUUUCAGUGAAUUGACAUCUUCGUAGCUGCAGAACUGUUAUGGCCCUCCAAGGUGGCUCUCCAGUAAAAAGCGCUUGCACGUGGCCCUCGUUGUUUUCCCAACAUCAUCCUGUUGCGAAGCAUCAAAGCGCAGUUGAUCCUGGUGCUGAAAACACAGCCACACAGCUCUGCAAAGGGAGAUGUAUUUCAAAAUAAUGCAAAAGGACUCACACCUGUGAUCUCUGUGUUCCAGCGGCCCGUGCUGCUGACCCCUCUGGUCACCGAAGCCUUCUCUGUGCACUUGCAGAUGACACGCUCCAUUUGGAGGGAGGAGUGCAG